GUGAGGAGCAAACAGUGGCAUUCAAUGUAGAGUCAUUUCAUUCCUAUUUGAAGUCCCGAAAACGUGUAUGGGGUCGGGGAGACCCCUCCAGGAGGAAGGAUGCUGAGGCCAUGAAAGGUUUCUUUGUGAGUGGGCCAUCUCUUUCCUCUUCUCUCUUAUACUUCAUCAGAGGGUUUGCAAUGACUGCUUGAGAAUUCAGAGCCAAAUAUCUGGCCCACAACUGGAAAGCGAAAAGGACAAUGCACCAGGAGAGCUCUGCCCUGCUGGGAACCAGGCCUUUCCCUCUGCGGGUGGCUGCUGGCCACCCCGGGCCCUUGGAGCUGCAAAGUGUAUAGAUCCUGUUCUGAGGUCAGGAAGCAGAACUGCAUGGGCCCCCAAGCCUCACAAGAUCCCUCUGUUCCACGAACACACACGUCCACUUGACAUCCCAGUCUGGAGUCUCUACAUCACAUCACAGGCUGGUCCGGAGAGGGGAGAGUGCCUGUGGGUUCACCUGAAUGAUCUGCAGUUUCUCAAGGCAUGAGGACUGAAACUGGGGCUGCUGAGGUUGCAUCCUCUCAGGCCUCCUGACCCCGAGACAUCCAGGAAUUCCUGCUUGGGGUUGAAGAGAUCCCCCUUCCACCUGACCCUACGGGAAAAAAUAAACUUUCCAAAGGCGGGUUUGCACCAAC
rnacentral:lncRNA from 1 species